CAGCCUCCCAACGCGCUGGGAUUGCAGACUGGAGGCACCACGCCCGGCCUGGAGAACUUGCGGAAGAAGUUGAAGGCCACUACGGUGUACAGGUAGACGACCACCGCCAGAAGGCCCACGGUCAUCACCAGCUGGGGGCAGGACGGGGUCAGGUCACCUCUACCCUGGGCUUGCCCUCCUCCAGCCACGCCCAUUCUGGGUCCUGGCCCCGGUUCAGUCCCUGUGGCUCUACCUUGCCACCCCACGCACCCUCAGCUCGGCCCCGCCUGGCCUUGCCCCUCCUCAGCCCAGCUGCCCAGCCCUCACCCCUCCACCACCCACUGCCACGCUGGUCCCUGCUGGCCCACGCCCCACAGCCAGGUCCUCCCCACACCUGUUUCCCAUUGUGGGUGACGGAGGAGAGGAUGGUGCGCAGCGUCUUGACCCCCAUGGCGAUGUCCAGGAGAUGGGCAGCGAAGAAGAAGUUGUUGUAGUGCCCCAAGAGGGACAUCACCAUAUACCAGCCCAGAUGGAGUUUCACUCUUGUCACCCAGGCUGGAGUGCAAUGGCGCAAUCCCAGCUCACCACAAUCUCCACCUCCAGGGUCCAAGCGCAGGAGGCUAAGCCUACCUUAGCCUCGCUUAGCCUCCCAAGUAGGUGGAGUGUAGUGGUGCGAUCUUGGCUCACUGCAGCCUCUACCUCCUGAAUUCAAG